AGUGAACGCUGGCGAUAGGCCUAACACAUGCAAGUCGAACGGCAGCACAGUAAGAGCUUGCUCUUACGGGUGGCGAGUGGCGGACGGGUGAGGAAUACAUCGGAAUCUACUUUUUCGUGGGGGAUAACGUAGGGAAACUUACGCUAAUACCGCAUACGACCUACGGGUGAAAGCAGGGGAUCUUCGGACCUUGCGCGAUUGAAUGAGCCGAUGUCGGAUUAGCUAGUUGGCGGGGUAAAGGCCCACCAAGGCGACGAUCCGUAGCUGGUCUGAGAGGAUGAUCAGCCACACGGGAACGGAGACACGGUCCAGACUCCUACGGGAGGCAGCAGUGGGGAAUAUUGGACAAUGGGCGCAAGCCUGAUCCAGCCAUACCGCGUGGGUGAAGAAGGCCUUCGGGUUGUAAAGCCCUUUUGUUGGGAAAGAAAAGCAGCAGGUUAAUACCCCGCUGUUCUGACGGUACCCAAAGAAUAAGCACCGGCUAACUUCGUG
rnacentral:rRNA from 1 species